AUCAAAGAUUUCUUUCGGAUAUGCUGACGACUUCAGGUUUAUUGCUGCAAGCAAAAGGGAAUUAGACAAUGCUACUACGUCAAUCGAUUAUUGGUGUAAUAAUAACUUAAUGCUUCUCAAUGCUGGAAAAUGCACUCUGGUCAAUUUCAAAAACGACCAUCAUACAUCGAAUUGCACGACCUACUUUUCAUAUCCAUUAUUUGAAAUAAUUAUGAAAUUGACAUCAACCAAUAUGCCACAUGCAUCCAAAGUUUAACCAGACAGAAUUAUAGAAAAUAAUUUCGCCAAAAAUUCGCUUAAAGGAAGACCAAGGCUGACUUCUUCGUUAGAUGCCCAGCACUAUUCAAUAUCAUUAUUCGAAGUACACCAAAACAGUUAUCGGAGAUAAGAAAAUCUGCAGAAUAUUCAAAAAUGGACAGCUGCGCAUGGCACAUAAUGUGGCAAUGUGGAAACUUACCCAAAUAGAAAAACUUAGAACUCAUUAAACUAUAUUUUGAUGCAAACCCAUGGGAUAAAUCCUAAAUACUAUACUAAUACAAAUACUUCUAUUUUCUUCUGUUAUUUUUCAGUCUGUGAGAUCGCAAUGAUAUGUUAGUGUAAUACCGCAAGAGUUGCGAAGCUACGCGUCGCCUCUAUUUUGAAUUUUUUCAUUAUGCGUUCGUAAAUGCAUAAUUGGCUCAGUUUUUGCGUUGCGAGAUGCUUCGGCCGAGUCUCCAAACGUUUGUCCAGUCUAUUAAUGGGGCGUAUUUCAGAUAGAUGCUACAAUGACCGAAAGCUUAAAAGAUCUUGAAGAGCUCAAGUCAGUUAGAUCAACAUUAAGUGCUCAGUUAGGUGAAUUUGAAGCCGAAUAUCUUUCUUUAAUGCGCGAAUGGUUUUGUGGCAGGCUAUCAAAACUGCAGCUUGAUGAAAAUGUACGAACAAUUCUUACCCCGCAAUCCAUUCAUUUGCACAACUUAUUCGUUUUGAAGCUCAUUUGUUUUUGCCGUCGAGUUUGCAAGACUGUGGUAGGAAAGUUGACAUGUCCACCACAGUUAAAAUCAGAUGAAGCUAAACUUCAGGAUGCGACACCAAAGAUUAAAGACAGAAAACGAAAAUUAGAAACAUUGGAAUCAGCCGCUGAACUAAAUCAAAUGGUCUCUCCCAAUUUAAUCGAGAAUAAAUUAAGUUGGCGACAAGAAGAAAUUGAUAGGAUCCAAGUCUUCAGUGAUAAAAAUGAGAUCAAAAACCCUAAAAUAGACAUCGAUCCAGCCGUUAAACAAACUGAAGGAAUUGUUGGUCGAGUAUAUAUAAGUUUAUGGGAACACGGUCUGGAUACAGUGACACAUGAUUGCGUGGUCAUCAUACUCAAAGCAUCCCUUGAUUUGUUACGAAGAUUCAUCAAGGCGCUCUUGGAUAUUAAUCAAUCGGCGAAGAUGGAAAAUCCGUUUCUUUCUUCGUUGUCCAAUGAUUCAAUUCUCAACAAAGGGUCGACAAAUCAGUUACACCUUUUGAAGGAAAUGAGAAGCAAUGAACGGGAAUUUGCCAGCGAAAUUUCGUCAGAUGCCAGUGUUCCGAAACAACCAAUAUCGAUACGCAACUUGAGAUCCAUUCUAAAAAUUAAGCCAGAUCUUUUGCCAAGCAAUUCCUUUCGUAACUCAGUGCUUGAAAAAUGUAUCAGCUUUCAAUAGUGAAGUUACGAAUGCAUUUCAACAAGAGCGAGAAGAGGAGCAAAUCUAAGUUGAGUUGAAGAUGAAACGACGCCAGAUAAUUGACUAAAUCGGAAACAUCGAAAAACAUUGAAACAAUUCAAAAUGAACUUAAUUGAGACGCAUAAGCUUUUAGUAUUUAGUAACUUUUUGUUAGUUGAAAGAUGAUGUAUCGAAGAA